AAAUUACAACGGAGUAUGUUCAUUUCAUAAGUCUCACUUCGGAGUUCACAGUCCAGGGCAGAGUCUCUUCAACGAAACACCCUUGAUGCUGGAAGUGAUGGAAAGGGAGAGUGGCAGACCCAAUUAAUUCUAUCUGACUGUUGUUGGACUGAUCGAAGCUGUGGUUAAUCUUUCAAGUCUGUACAGGGAAAAUGGCUACUUUAGUUCCAACAUCCUUAAUCAUAUCCUUCUCUUGCAAUCCCUUUCCCUCUACUUUCUCAGCCAUGAAAAUCAAAUACCCAGUUGGUGUUUCUUCAUGGAUUCUUAGGUCUUGUGGGCGUAAACAUGGUCAUGGGUUUGUGGGUUCUCUUAAGGCUGCGAUUUCAGGAAGAGCAGAAGGUACUUUCGAUCCUGAGCUGCGGUCAGUGCUCGAACUAGCUACAGACUCAGAGUUGUAUGAGCUCGAAAGAAUUCUCUUUGGCCCGAGCUACUUCAGUCCGCUUUUAAAGUCAUUGACGAAAAGGGCCGAAGAUGACUAUAUUAUGCUUGGAGAGGAUUACGAGGACCGUCAAUAUUUUACAGAGCUUCUGGAGUCGCGAUUUCUAUUCCUUGCAGCGGAUGCACGAUCUACAUUAAGGGGUUGGAGACCUACUUACAGGGAUGUCUUGCUCGAUGUGAGGAGAAAACUAAGAGUCCCUUGUUCGAGCAAACUGACUACCGAAGAUCUAGAAGUGGAGAUUUUUCUUCAUCUGUUGCAAGAUUACUCGAGUCAUGAAUCAGGCACCAUUCUGGGCUCCUUGGAAAGCUCUAAGAUUUCCAGAAGCCAUGGUAGCCUAGAACUCGGACUCAGUCAAUGGAAGGUUCAAGCCCUUGCUGCUUUAAAAGUUGGGGCUGCAGAGCUCCAGUCAACGUUUUUAAAGGGUGGUGGUGUGCUUACUCUGGGAAAGAUCUUUCAGUUGUUGGCAAGGGGCUUAUCGGGAAAGAUGCUAUUAGAAGCUGCCAACUAUCAAAUAAAGCAUGAACUUGUCAAGAAGGGUGGACGGAUGGCAGCCCUUAAUCUGGAGUCGAGAGCAGCCCUGCUUGCAGCAAGACAGGGUUUUGCAGGAGCAGCAUCCAGAUAUCUGGGGCUUAGAAGCAUGAUGAUGCUGCUUGGACCAAUGCUGUGGGGAACAUUUCUGGCAGACGUUGUUAUCCAAAUGCUUGGAACUGAUUAUGCUAGAAUUCUGGGAGCAAUUUAUGCAUUUGCACAGAUCCGCCUCAUCCGCACUUAUGGUUUGAAAACUGAUGACGACGAAUCAAUUUAGUAUUUUAGAAAGGUUGCACUAUUUUAUUCUGUAAGAGGAUGAUUGGGAACCCUACUGGUUCUUAUACUGCUUUGCAUUGCUAAUAAAGGCUUUGCAAGUUAACAAAGUGAAGAUGUCAGUUGAUUUAUGUCUAAACUUGCAUUCAAAUGGAUGGAUGAAACCUCCAAGAAUCUCUGUACUAUAAUUGAGGAUAUUUCUGUGGAUGUAAAUAUGAACGUUGAUAAGCUGGUCAUUGGCAGUUUUUGUAAGGUGUGCACAUCAGAGAAUGUCUUUAGCUCAGUAAUUCAGAUUACUUAAAUGUAUUUGUUUACAGGUUAAUGUAGACUCGUACAAAUUAAUUGAAGUUAUUCAUUGUUCCCUUAA